AGAGUUUGAUCCUGGCUCAGAUUGAACGCUGGCGGCAUGCUUUACACAUGCAAGUCGAACGGUAACGCGGGGGCAACCCUGGCGACGAGUGGCGAACGGGUGAGUAAUACAUCGGAACAUGUCCUGGAGUGGGGGAUAGCUCGGCGAAAGCCGGAUUAAUACCGCAUACGCUCUGAGGAGGAAAGCGGGGGACUCGCAAGGGCCUCGCGCUGCAGGAGUGGCCGAUGUCGGAUUAGCUAGUUGGUGAGGUAAAGGCUCACCAAGGCGACGAUCCGUAGCUGGUCUGAGAGGAUGAUCAGCCACACUGGGACUGAGACACGGCCCAGACUCCUACGGGAGGCAGCAGUGGGGAAUUGUUCGCAAUGGGCGCAAGCCUGACGACGCAACGCCGCGUGGAGGAUGAAGAUUUUCGGAUCGUAAACUCCUGUCGAAUGGGACGAAAAGGUCGCGGUCUAAUAUCCCGUGAUCCUGACGGUACCGUUAAAGGAAACCCCGGCUAACUCCGUGCCAGCAGCCGCGGUAAUACGGGGGGGGUAAGCGUUGUUCGGAAUUACUGGGCGUAAAGGGCUCGUAGGCGGCCAACUAAGUCAGACGUGAAAUCCCUCAGCUUAACUGGGGAACUGCGUCUGAUACUGGAUGGCUUGGAUUCGGGAGAGGAAUGCGGAAUUCCAGGUGUAGCGGUGAAAUGCGUAGAUAUCUGGAGGAACACC
rnacentral:rRNA from 1 species